GAAAUGCGAUAAGUAGUGUGAAUUGCAGAAUUCAGUGAAUCAUCGAAUCUUUGAACGCACAUUGCGCCCCUUGGUAUUCCAUGGGGCAUGCCUGUUCGAGCGUCAUCUACACCCUCAAGCUCUGCUUGGUGUUGGGCGUCUGUCCCGCCCCCGCGCGUGGACUCGCCCCAAAUCCAUUGGCAGCGUUCCUUGCCCCCUCUCGCGCAGCACAUUGUGCUUCUCGAGGGCGGCUCCGGGACGCGAUCCAGCAAGAUGACCACCGUCUUUGACCUCGGAUCAGGUAGGGAUACCCGCUGAACUUAAGC
rnacentral:misc_RNA from 1 species